GGAUGAGCUGGGAACCCUCCCCAUCCUCACCCCAUCGCCACAACCAGAGUCUCCUUCCUGGGGACCAGCUUGCAUGAGAGACCAGGUUACUUUCUCCUGGGAGCCACUGCGGACCUGUGCUGUGAGGUAAUUGAGAGCAGCCGAAUUCCUUCGGGGCCGAUUUGCUUGCAAUAUCUAAAGAUGUGAUCUACACAUUGACUGCAGGCCUCCUGGCAGAAGAAAAUUUGAUUCAGUGGUACCUCAGUGGACCGGCGUCAGGUGAACUUACAGCUAAAGCAACAGAGCCAACGCCUCCUCGGGGGGUAUUCAUGGCUGCCACUCCGCUCCAGCGAUCGGACUCGAUGUCAUAUCGCUCCACGUCGUUGAAGCAGAUUUUUUUCAAACCUGUCUUGGUUUAGAUGGAGCCUCUGGAAAAACUUUAAGAGGAAACUACUUAUAAUGGCUCCCAAAGGCGCUUCGCAGACAGGACUCUUGGUUAAGGACUUGAAUAAUGGUGAAAACAACUGUCUCUUCUACUCAAAGAAAAAUCCCUUCUCAAUGAACACAAAGGUGGACCACCAACAGGAGAAGGGGGCUCAAAGGGAAUAACAAUGUGUAAAUAGCAUACCACUGAGUGCACAACAAGAGCCCUGCUGUGCACCAGUAAUGCAUGUGCCAAAAUGUGAUUUAUGGAGACAUAAGACGACUGUUCUGAUUUUUUUCCUGGAGGAUGGAUGUAACCUACUUCAUUAAAAAUGGUUCUUUGAGGGUGAAUUUAAUAUAAUAAAAAAUAAACACUACUAAAUGGAAUGUCAUUUUUGGCAUUUCAUGGUCUCAAUUCCGAAAGCCUGGGAUUGCGACCUAGAUCAGCAGCAAUGCAACGCGCAUAUAUAAAUGCCCUCUACACCCAGAAUAAAAUUUCAAGAUCUUUUCAAAGUCGGCUUUGAAAUAUAUUUAUAGAAGCCAUGCAGUUCUGCCGAAAUGCUGGUCUCUACAAAAUGUUUUGGCUACAACACUAAUGAGGAAUCAAGGAGCCAUUUUUGGGGCAACCCCAAGUCAGCAGAAAUGACUGUGUGCUCAAUAAUGCAAGUUUUCCUUAACACCGGGGUUGUCAAGAACAGCACAGGAAAACUGUCUACACAAAUUAAAAGUUGGGCAACUUAAACUUUGUCCACUUUGGAAUUUUUUUUUAUGCGCCAGUGAGGAGAGU